UAACAUUUUAUGGUAACACUUUUAAAAUAGGUAACAUAUUAUGGUAACACUUUUCAAAUAGGUAACAUUCUAUGGUAACACUUUUAAAAUAGGUAACAUUUUAUGGUAACACUAAGAAGUGUUACCAUAUUUUUUUAAGAAGGAAAUUAAAUAUUUACAAUGAAAAUAAGGACUAAUCCCAAAAAUCAACUAUUUGUCGCCAAAAGGAAAAAAAGAAUGUGGGUUUUCUAACAUUUAUCAGUUUUUUUAAAAAAAACAAAAACAAAAAGAAGUAGAUUUUUAAAAAAGAAAAUCUCAAAAUACCCAUUUUAUAACCCCAAAUUACGACUGACCAAAGACUCAUCCCAAAGCCAAGAACCCACAUCGCACUUUAUGAAUGUCGCCACUGCCAUUGCCAUUGCCAUUGCCAUCAUCACCGGCCUCGCAACCAUGAAUGACACAUUGAAGCUACCAUUGAACGGAUUGAGAACUGCAAAUCCGGGAUCGGUUUUCAUAAAUAGCUGGUUUCGGGUGAAAUGAAAUGGGGAAUCGAGAUUCGUUUAUUUUAUAGGAGAUGCGUUGUCAAGUGGAGCUUUUAUGCUUUCAUCAUCGAACCUUUCCCUUGCGGGAAUGGGGACAAAAGUAGGUGUCUACACUCAUGUGUUAGGAGCUUGCUUUAACGGUUCAGGAGCUAGGAUUAUGGAAUUUUUUGGCAGCCUACUGACAAUAGGACCAGAUGCUGUAAAUAUCGCUCAUCAAAGGCUCUGAUCGGCUAGAGUUGUUUGUUAUGGGUGUCAGUCUAGUACAUUCUGCGAUGUAAGCCGUGCGGAUCGUUUUGGUUUCUUCUUAUGCAAAUUUGUUGUGUGGUUUUAAGCUGCUAUUUUGCAGGAAUGCUGCAAGUUUUUUGCUCUUUGGAAUUCAUUUGUUUUGUUCGGGGGGGUCCAAGUCUCUUAUUUAAAGCCUCAUUCCACAUAUUUGUUGUA